UACGUAGGGCGCGAGCGUUGUCCGGAAUCACUGGGCGUAAAGCGCACGUAGGCGGGUCUUUAAGUCAGGGGUGAAAUCCUGGAGCUCAACUCCAGAACUGCCUUUGAUACUGAAGAUCUUGAGUUCGGGAGAGGUGAGUGGAACUGCGAGUGUAGAGGUGAAAUUCGUAGACAUUCGCAAGAACACCAGUGGCGAAGGCGGCUCACUGGCCCGAUACUGACGCUGAUGCACGAAAGCGUGGGGAGCAAACAGG
rnacentral:rRNA from 1 species